rnacentral:rRNA from 1 species
CCAAUAGCGUAUAUUAAAGUUGUUGCAGUUAAAAAGCUCGUAGUUGAAUUUCGGGAUCAAGGAAUCGGUCAUGCCUCGGUAUGUACUGGUUUUAUUGGUUCUCACCUUCUAAAGAACCAUAAUGUCAUUCAUUUGAUGUUAUGGGGAAUUAGGACUGUUACCUUGAAAAAAUUAGAGUGUUUAAAGCAGGCUCACGCUUGAAUACAUUAGCAUGGAAUAAUGAAAUAGGACGUUUGAUUCUAUUUUGUUGGUUUCUAGGAUCGACGUAAUGAUUAAUAGGGAUAGUUGGGGGCAUUAGUAUUCAAUUGUCAGAGGUGAAAUUCUUGGAUUUAUUGAAGACUAACUACUGCGAAAGCAUUUGCCAAGGAUGUUUUCAUUAAUCAAGAACGAAAGUUAGGGGAUCGAAGACGAUCAGAUACCGUCGUAGUCUUAACCAUAAACUAUGCCGACUAGGGAUCGGAUGAUGUUAAUUUUUUAAUGACUCAUUCGGCGCCUUACG